rnacentral:rRNA from 1 species
GAAUCCCGUCUUUGGCACGGAUGUACCGGGGCUUUUGUGAUGCGCUCUCGAAGAGUCGAGUUGUUUGGGAAUGCAGCUCAAAAUGGGUGGUGAACUCCAUCUAAAGCUAAAUAUUGGCGAGAGACCGAUAGCGAACAAGUACCGUGAGGGAAAGAUGAAAAGCACUUUGGAAAGAGAGUGAAACAGUACGUGAAAUUGUUGAAAGGGAAACGCUUGAAGUCAGUCGCGUCGACCGAGACUCAGCCUCGCCUCGGCUUGGUGUACUUCUCGGCUGACGGGUCAGCAUCAAUUUUGCCCCUUGGAUAAUGGCGAGGGAAAUGUGACACCUUUGCGGUGUGUUAUAGUCUCUCGUCGCAUGCAAGGGUCGGGAUUGAGGAACUCAGCACGCGCCUUUGGGCGUCGGGGCUUUGCCCACGAUACGUGCUUAGGAUGCUGGCGUAAUGGCUUUAAACGACCCGUCUUGAAACACGGACCAAGGAGUCUAACAUGCCUGCGAGUGUUUGGGUGGAAAACCCAUGCGCGCAAUGAAAGUGAAGGUUGAGAUCCCUGUCGUGGGGAGCAUCGACGCCCAGACCAGACCUUCUGUGACGGAUCUGCGGUAGAGCACGCAUGUUGGGACCCGAAAGAUGGUGAACUAUGCCUGAAUAGGGUGAAGCCAGAGGAAACUCUGGUGGAGGCUCGUAGCGAUUCUGACGUGCAAAUCGAUCGUCAAAUUUGGGUAUAGGGGCGAAAGACUAAUCGAACCAUCUAGUAGCUGGUUCCUGCC